rnacentral:pre_miRNA from 1 species
AGAAACCUAAAAGAGCUUCCUUCAGCCCAGUCACGAGUGAGGAAGGGGCUGAAUUAGCUGCCGACUCAUUCAUCCAACCCCAAGCAAACCAACAAACUCACUCAGUGGGGUUGAGUGAGUGAUGCGGGAGAUAGUUUCAUGUCUCUCGCCCUCAAUGAUUGGACUGAAGGGAGCUCCUUUUCCUUUUUCU